UACGGAGGGUGCAAGCGUUGUCCGGAAUCAUUGGGCGUAAAGAGUUCGUAGGCGGUAUGUUAAGUUUGGUGUUAAAGCCCGAGGCUUAACCUCGGUUCGGCAUCGGAUACUGGCAUACUAGAAUGCGGUAGAGGUAAAGGGAAUUCCUGGUGUAGCGGUGAAAUGCGUAGAUAUCAGGAGGAACAUCGGUGGCGUAAGCGCUUUACUGGGCCGUUAUUGACGCUGAGGAACGAAAGCCGGGGGAG
rnacentral:rRNA from 1 species